rnacentral:rRNA from 1 species
CCAGAAAGGGACGGCUAANUACGUGCCAGCAGCCGCGGUAAUACGUAGGUCCCGAGCGUUNUCCGGAUUUAUUGGGCGUAAAGCGAGCGCAGGCGGUUAGAUAAGUCUGAAGUUAAAGGCAGUGGCUCAACCNUUGUAGGCUUUGGAAACUGUUUAACUNGAGUGCAGAAGGGGAGAGUGGAAUUCCAUGUGUAGCGGUGAAAUGCGUAGAUAUAUGGAGGAACACCGGUGGCGAAAGCGGCUCUCUGGUCUGUAACUGACGCUGAGGCUCGAAAGCGUGGGGAGCGAACAGGAUUAGAUACCCUGGUAGUCCACGCCGUAAACGAUGAGUGCUAGGUGUUAGGUCCUUUCCGGGACUUAGUGCCGCAGCUAACGCAUUAAGCACUCCGCCUGGGGAGUACGACCGCAAGGUUGAAACUCAAAGGAAUUGACGGGGGCCCGCACAAGCGGUGGAGCAUGUGGUUUAAUUCGAAGCAACGCGAAGAACCUUACCAGGUCUUGACAUCCCGAUGCCCGCUCUAGAGAUAGAGCUUUACUUCGGUACAUCGGUGACAGGUGGUGCAUGGUUGUCGUCAGCUCGUGUCGUGAGAUGUUGGGUUAAGUCCCGCAACGAGCGCAACCCUUAUUGUUAGUUGCCAUCAUUCAGUUGGGCACUCUAGCGAGACUGCCGGUAAUAAACCGGAGGAAGGUGGGGAUGACGUCAAAUCAUCAUGCCCCUUAUGACCUGGGCUACACAUGUGCUACAAUGGCUGGUACUACGAGUCGCAAGCCGGUGACGGCAAGCUAAUCUCUGAAAGCCAGUCUCAGUUCGGAUUGUAGGCUGCAACUCGCCUACAUGAAGUCGGAGUCGCUAGUAAUCGCGGAUCAGCACGCCGCGGUGAAUACGUUCCCGGGCCUUGUACACACCGCCCGUCACACCACGAGAGUUUGUAACACCCGAAGUCGGUGAGGUAACCGUAAGGAGCCAGCC